UCGUCAGGCCAUGGUGACAGGUUUUGACUCCGGCAUUCGUAGGUUCGACAAGGCGCGUAGCGCCGCAGAUCGCCGCCGUGGCGGCGACCCGAAGGGCGAGCGAAGCGAGUAAUCCUGCCGCCCUGGCCG
rnacentral:sRNA from 1 species